AUGGCAGCAAAGAAAGGAACUUCUCGUCUCCUUUCCUUCACAUUCCAGAAGAGGGGGUCACAUUCCAGAACUGAGUCUCAUUCCUGGGGUUCUAGAGGCAGAGCAGGUGACAGAGGGGGAGGAAAUGGCACUCAACACACAAGUAGCCAGAGGAGGAAGAAGUAUCUCUGGUGUUGGAGGAGGCACGAUGGAUACAUGAAAGCAAUUGGGUUAAUCUGGAAGCCUCGUCAGUGAUUACUUCUCUUCUCCUCCUACACUUUGGAGUCUGAAAUUGCUGAUCAUUGGUGGAAGAGUCAACAUGACUUGUUGGAAAAGAGUUCAACUUCUCUUUACACAACUAUCUUUAAACACAGCUCUCAAGUCUACCCAUCCUGGUUUAAGGGCUGAUUACUUGAGGUUUUCUGUUUUCAUGUCCUGCUCUACAUUAAACUACAUAUUCUGAGUGGUC
rnacentral:lncRNA from 1 species